rnacentral:rRNA from 1 species
GAUGAACGCUGGCGGCGUGCCUAAUACAUGCAAGUCGAGCGAACGGACGAGAAGCUUUCUUCUCUGAUGUUAGCGGCGGACGGGUGAGUAACACGUGGAUAACCUACCUAUAAGACUUGGAUAACUUCGGGAAACCGGAGCUAAUACCGGAUGAUAUUUUGAACCGCAUGGUUCAAAAGUGAAAGACGGUCUUGCUGUCACUUAUAGAUGGAUCCGCGCUGCAUUAGCUAGUUGGUAAGGUAACGGCUUACCAAGGCAACGAUGCAUAGCCGACCUGAGAGGGUGAUCGGCCACACUGGAACUGAGACACGGUCCAGACUCCUACGGGAGGCAGCAGUAGGGAAUCUUCCGCAAUGGGCGAAAGCCUGACGGAGCAACGCCGCGUGAGUGAUGAAGGUCUUCGGAUCGUAAAGCUCUGUUAUUAGGGAAGAACAUAUGUGUAAGUAACUGUGGACAUCUUGACGGUACCUAAUCAGAAAGCCACGGCUAACUACGUG